rnacentral:lncRNA from 1 species
AUACUGCCGGAACUGUGGCUAAUGGUGCGGACCACCCUGCUCACUGUUAGCAAAGUGGGUAGCUACCCUCUCUUCUGGAAGCCCCUCUGCAGCACUCCUCUUGGGAGUAGAAAAGGAAGUGGUCAAGCUCAGCCCCAGCCUCCUCAGCUUUCUGCAGCUGAGCCUCCAGACCUACAUUUGGGAGCUGAUCCGUCUUGCUCUCAGUUAGGGCCCAGCCCUUCUGUGGGGACCAGGAAAAUCUUUGCUCACCUGGAGAAGCUGCUGGUUCAGCCCAACUUUAUCUAACGCCAAAGCCUCAUUUAAGGCACUGAGCUUGACAGCUGCAGCCCGAAGAUCAGCUACUUCUGUCUUCAGGGUGUUUUCAGAACUCGACAGCUCUGCAAUUGACUGCUCUGCCUAAAAAACAAAAAGGAUUAAAGAGUUUCAUAUUUCCAAUUUUCCUGGAACAGUAAACAGUUCACAUUCCCAACACUGCUGCUUUUUGGUACAGAGAUCAGUUAAUACUCCAUUCCCUCUCCUGCAUUCUAAACAAGUUUUCCCUUCAUUCAUUCAUUAAGGAGUGAGACAGGACCUCACAGUAUAGAGAUACCAAAGUUAGGAUAGAGAAAUGACUAUGAUUGUAAUGAUGCCACAGAAAAUGUAAGCACAAAGUGCUCUGGGAACUAAAAAAAAUAUUAAUAUAGUUUGGAAGAGUCAAAUAUGCUUGGUAGAGGAGUUGACGAUUAAGUUGUGUACUGAGAGAUGAGGAACAGUUUGCACAUAAAGGAAGAGGAAAGAAGUAGUGCAGAGAAAGGGAAAAGUACACGCAGAGUAUUAGAGUCAUGAAGAACAUGGAAUAACUGAGAAGGCAAUUACUGCUGUGGCAGGAGCAAAGGAUAUGAGGUGUUAGGAUGGGUUUUGCAGUAGAAGGGGAGGCUAAAACACACUUUGAGGCACAUGACAAAAAGCUUUGAAUGUGGCACCACAGAGCUAGAAAGCCGUUGAAUGGUUUUAAGAGACUGACAUAACCAGGUAUAUACUUUAGAAAGCCCAUUCUAAUUCCAAUAUAGAGGGUAUGUUGGAAUAGAGAACCCAGAAGCAGACUAAUGAUUGAGGAAAGAUGAGGGAUCCUGGCUUGAAGGUGAAGAAUGAGGCAGGCUGCAUGGGAACACACUUUCGAAGCCGCCCACCCAGCAAGUGAGGAGAGGAGGCCACGCACCCUAGCCAGCGCUGCGGUCACUUCCGUUUGCUCUUGCCUCAGUAACUCCCCUUCCAGGUGACUUGACUCCAGGGCUUCCCGAAGAGUGAUCAGUUCACUGAGUGAUUCUGACUGUUUGGCUUCCAGGCCCAUCAGCAUCUCCUGACUAAGAUGGGAAAGAGAGGGGUCUAGAGGAACUCUUAGGGAUGGGCCAUAACCCCAAAGGUAACAGGAAUAUAAUCACCUUUGCUAUGCAACAGAAUGAGGAUGGUCUAUAAACACUGAUAAGGAAAGAUUUCUAAGACAUGUCAAGUGAAAAAAAUCAAGGUGCAGAACAGUAUAUACAUGAUACACUACCUUUUAUGCAAGAAAGUGGGGGAAGAAAGAAUAUAUGCCCGUAUUUGCAUGAAGGAGCACUGGCAAGAUAAACAAGAAGUCAGCUAAAAUGGUUGCCUAAAGGGGGAAGGGAAAUGGGAUGGAGAAAGCACAAAUGAGAGUGAGACUUCUCUGUGUAUCUUCUUAGCUCACUGAAGCCUCAAACUCCUGGGGGCUCAUGUGAUCCUCCCAUCUCACCUUGCCAUGGCUACAGGCACAUGCCACCACAUUCAGCUACAGCUAAUUUUUUGUUGUUAGGGGUUGUCUGCCCUUCUCCUUGGUACAGGGAGAUCAUUCUUAGCACAAGUCAUGACCCUUAUGGCAGCCCUUCAAGCUUCCACUAUUCAUGCCUACCAGGUACAAGGAACUGGGGCACAGGAGAGGAGGGAAAUACAGCAAAGAUGAAGAUAUAUCCCUGCUCCCAGUUAUUAAAGACCUACCAUAUGCCAGGUUCUAUGCUGGCGUUUUCCAAAACAUUGCUCUCAUCUUCCCAGCAACCCUUCAAGGUAAAUAUUAUCAUCAUUCUACAAAUAAUCUGUCCAUGUGACAGAGCCAUAAUUUAAACUAAGCUUCUGCCUAGCUCAAAGUCCUUGCUUUUUCUGUGACAUCAUAUAGGGGAAUUUACAGAUUAGCUGGGGCCAUUGAUUCUGGAUUUCCCUUUCUUGACCAGCUAGCACAUUUCCCACUACUUCCCUGUAUAAGUCUUACCCUUUAGCCAGCCCAGCCUACUCUGAACAUGCCAUGAACCUUCCUGCCGCCUUUUCUUUGCUAAUCUGUUCCUUGAGCUCUUCUCCCACUCUCUGCUAACCAAAUAGGUAAAGGCCCAGCUCAAAGUCUACUCUCUCCUCCAUAAAGCAUUUCCUAGUCUUCAAUAAUUAGCUGUCACUCCUGUGCUCCCAAAGGACUUGGUCUGAAACUCUAUUUAACUCAUACUUCAUCCAGCCUCAUGUCACAGUGAGUUGUCUGUCUUCUGGCAAGUUCCCUGAAAUCAGGGCUUUUGUCUUAUUCAUUUCUGUAUCCCCCUCAGUGUCUCAUCCCAUAUGGGUGCUCAACUAAGACUUAACCAACCACGAACUUUCCAUAUUCAUCUUUCUGCAAAGGAAGAAGCAGCAAGCUAAUCUGAACCCACUGCAUGCCAGACUUCUACAUACUCUACUUUGUAACAGAGGGGAGUAGACGGGGAGGGUGUAGAAUUGAAGAAAGACCAGGGCCCAGCGAGGAGGAGACUAGUCUCACUUACAGACGCUCCCUCUCCCGGACAGCCAGGUGCAGCUCCUCCUGCUGUUCCUCCUUCUGGCCCUGGGCAGAGUCCCCCUGCAGCUGAAGCUCCACAUUUACCCUUCGCAGGCGCCAUGCCUCCUGCUCUAGCACCUCCAGCUGCUGCCGCAGCUCUUCCCUGGCCUUCUGCAGCAGCUCUCGCUCCCUGGAAGAAGGGAAUCAGAGAUGAGCAGAGACCAUAGGACCUAAAAUUCUUUCUGGAAGCAGGCAUCACAGGGCCAAGAGACCCUGUUUCAACAUCCCAUCUUCUGUUUCUAGUGCGAAACUUUUUUAUCAUCACAAAGACUCCAACCCCAAAAGCUUGUUCUGGAGAAACAAGUGAAACACUGGGCAAAACAGCCCUGAGUCUCAAGGAGAACAGGAUCAGCACCCCAAAAACCUGAUGGGAGUGGGUAAAUGGCUGGAUGGUGACUGAGACUGAGACCAGGCUGGGAGGGUGGGAUGAACAGCCCGUCUGCUCACUUGCUGAGAGAGUCCACCUCUCCCUGGAGGUCCACAGUCUGCCCUGCCAGAGUGUCCCGCUCCCCAGUGAGCUUCUGCAGCCGCUGUCUCAAGGCUUUGCCCUCUUCCUCCCACUGAUCAUGCUGCUGUUGCAACAAGUUCACAGCCUCUUGACAGCCUGCAAGCUGCUGCCUUAGGUCCUGUGGAGAGAGAGCAAGAGAAACCAGAUGAUGAACAAGGGCAAAGGAGGGAUGUCAGAACCCCGAAAGUGGGGCUGGAGAAGGGGGUCGGGGGCUGGUGCAACAAAAGAAAGCUGAGAAGGGAGAUGCAACUAUUCAAGAAGACAGGCCAUCAGAGGUCAUUGGGCUUCUGUGGCUCUAGAUUCUUAGAGUUCGUCAUCUCCAAAUGUACAGUGGCAUGGGGGAGUGGUAAGUGUGCCUAAGACUCUCAGAGUUGGAGAACGUUGACCCAAUAAUCUCCCAGGGCUCUGGUUCCCAAUCUUUGCAUACUGUUAUGCAAAGAUUGUACACAAAGUGAAGCAUGCCAUUGGCGUGGAGGAUGUGCCUGCUACUCACAAGCACAAUUCAGCAGACAUAGGCAGAUUUACUCUGGGAUAUUGACAGAACACCUCAUGACUGGUCAAAAAAGUGAAAGGGAUAGUCCAGGCUAGGGAGGUACCUGAGGCACAAACCAGUUUAGACACAAACCCCUGUGACUGAGGUGGAAUGCUGAGGGUUCCUACCUGCACAGCCUGGCGUCUCCGAGUCAGCACUGAACGCACCAGAGUAAGAGCCUUGUCUGCAUCCUGGUAAUCAAACUGGGAGAAGAUACUAGAGUCCAAUUCCAAAGAGUUCUCAUGACCAGAGCCUUGGGCUAUAUUGUCCCCUUCUUCCACCAUGACCUGAAACCCAAUACAGCAAGGUCACCACCCUACUGACCAAAGCCUAGAGUCUAUAGAGGGACUUAACCCUAUAGCCUGGACAAACCUGAUGUUUUCCUUCUCAGGUCCUCUCCCCUGGGGGAAGGAGGGGAGUAUCUGAGCAUAAAAGUCUGGUUCCUUCAACUCUCCACCUUUGGUCACCCAAGUCUAGGACUAACAACAAGGCUAGAACACUGUCUGAGGUAACAAUAAAUGAGGAAAUGAAAGAAGAAACGAUUGAGAUAUUGAAUACCAGAAUCUAGCCUCCAGCCUGAGAACUGCAGCUAGAAACAGGAAAGAGGGCCUGUCCCAUCAGGUAGUGCUAAACGUGAAUGCUUAGCUAUCUCUUAGGGUUCUGGUCUUCAAACACACAAAACUCAUCCCCACAAGACUUUAAGCACCCGAACCUCAGAGACUGGAAAUCUAGGCAGGACUGAAAGGACAUGGAGACCUGGGGAGUGGAGGCAUAACCUGGUUACCAUGAACAGGAGGCUUCCCAGUACCUGGGUUAUAUCCUUGAUCACCUGCUGUAAAGACAACUUCUCCUCUUGCGCAUUCCUACUAAGAGAUGCUUCAUGUUCCAUUAAUUCUGUGUGAUUUGUCUCCUGAACAGGGAAUAGAACAGAGCCUCAGAGCCAAACUCUCAAAAGUGAAUUUAUUAUUCCAGGACCCCAAACAACCAAAGUCUCAUUCUGUCUAUUCUAUCAGCCCCACUUUUUCCCUGACCAUAUGUCAAUGCUAAUGUUGUCUGAAGAGUCUGAAGACAAUGUGAUGUGGUGAUUACAAGUUUAGAUUAAGUGAUUACGAGUUCCAAAUUGGACUUCACAGAUUAGAAUUCCUGCUCUAUCACUUACUAGCUUCUAUCACUUACUUCUUUUUCUUUAAAAUAGAAAUAAUUACAGCAACUAGUUGUUUUGAGGCUUAAAUGAAAAAUGCAUGUAAAUUAUUCAAUAUAGUGUCUGGAACAAAGCAAAUGUUCAAUAAAUGUAAACUAUUAUUAGAUAGGGGAUGGGUGCUGUCUCUGAACAGUAAAUGGAUGCUUGAGACCUAAUACUAAACCAGAGAAUCCUCUAGCCCCAAAGCUAGACAUAAUCUUGAAGACUCAAGAGUUCCUCUCUUCCUUCCUAUUUGUGUUAGUGAAGACCUAAAGACACAGACUUGCAACUAUGUUUUAUUUGGCUUAUACAAAAUUUGAAUCAACAUUUAUAAAUGGAAAGAUUUUACAUAAAAAUAUAAAUUUCUGGCUUCUCCCAAAAAGUUAACAAAUGGGCCACACCCAGCCCCCAUUCCUACAUGGAAACGAUUUACUGAAGUUGAAUGGUAGAUGCCUCAUCUAGAUGAGACAUUUAUUAUUGAGGGUCCCACAAUCCCUAUUGCUCCUCAUGGCUUCCUUAAUACUGAGCUCAAGUGUCCCCUGCAGUACUGAAAACUAAAUACAACAAACAGCACUGGAAAACCAGAAUUCUUACAACUGAACCCAUUUCAUUUAUUUACAUUAUCUGAGCCCCAUGGAUAUUCUGAAUUGGCAAGUUCCUGAAAAAAAAAGAGGGAAUCAGAAAGCUACAAUUCCUGUUGAUCUCAGCUUGGAUGAGAAGACUAGGGGUGUACAUAUGAAUAGGGGUUCAGGAGCUACCUAAAAUCAGAGAUCUGAAAACUUAUAGAGAUGAAACAUGGUAUUAAGCCAGAGGGUUCUAACAUCCAACCUUAGAGAAGCCCUCUGAUAACAUCCCUGGCAGAUGUUAAGCCAAUGACCAAAACCUUACUCCUUCACAAGACAGGCUGUUCAACUACUUAACAGCUCUAGCUGUGAGCCAGAAUCUAUUCCCCUAUUAACUUCUAGCUAUUGACAUUGGUUUUGCCCUGGAAAACAUUAAAUAUGUAAACUCUCUUUUCUCUUUUUUGAGACGGAGUUUCACUCUUGUUGCCCAGGCUGUAGUGCAAUGGCAUAACCUCGGCUCACCACAACCUCCACCUCCCAGGUUCAAGUGAUUCUCCUGCCUCAGCCUCCCGAGCAGCUGGGUUUAUAGGCAUGUGCCACCACGACCGGCUAAUUUUUUUUAUUUUUUUAGUAGAGACGGGGUUUCUGCAUGUUGGUCAGGCCGGUCUCAAACUCCCGACCUCAGGUGAUCUGCCUGCCUCAGCUUCCCAUAGUGCUGGGAUUACAGGCGUGAGCCACCGCGCCCGGCCCUUCAUAAACUCUCUUUUCCCAGCGUCAGUCCUUCAGAUAUGUGAAGGCAGCUAUCAUGUCUUCAAGGGCCUUCACAGGGCCUCAAGCUCUUUCUUCUCCCGGCUAAACAUUGCCAUACUCCUCAGUUGUUUCCCAUGUGACUAGAUUUUAAAUCUCU